rnacentral:rRNA from 1 species
UUACGGGAGGCAGCAGCUAAGAAUCUUCUGCAAUGGACGCAAGUCUGACAGAGCGACGCCGCGUGAACGAUGAAGGCCGCAAGGUUGUAAAGUUCUUUUCUUUGUGAGGAAUAAGGGGCAGAGGAAAUGCUGUCCUGAUGACGUAAGCGAAGGAAUAAGCCCCGGCUAAUUACGUGCCAGCAGCCGCGGUAAUACGUAUGGGGCGAGCGUUGUUCGGAUUUAUUGGGCGUAAAGGGCGUGUAGGCGGCUUGGCAAGCUUGGUGUGAAAUGUCACGGCUUAACCGUGAAUGUGCGCUGAGAACUGCCAGGCUGGAGUUUUGGGGGGGAAGCUGGAAUUCCUGGUGUAGGGGUGAAAUCUGUAGAUAUCAGGAAGAACACCGAUGGCGAAGGCAAGCUUCUAUCCAAAGACUGACGCUGAGGCGCGAAAGUGUGGGGAGCGAACAGGAUUAGAUACCCCGGU